CUCAGACAUGUUUUCGUUUAUUUAGCAAAGGAUCUGAAGGACUCUAGGCCUAGAUCUUAGCCAACUGACUGGUCGUGAUUUCUCCAUAAAUUUGAAAGCAGACGACCAAACCAAGUGCAAUGGUUUCGAGAUACGAUAUCAGAUUUCCUAAAACAAGCCAACAGUGAGGCUGAUGUCCCCCACCGAAAUAAAUAGAUGACACAUAUUAA